GUUCUUGUAGCGCAACGGAUAGCGCUUUGAACUUGUAAUCCACAGAUCGUGAGUUCGAAUCCCACCUGGAAUG